rnacentral:rRNA from 1 species
GAUGAACGCUGGCGGCGUGCCUAAUACAUGCAAGUCGAGCGAAUGGAUUAAGAGCUUGCUCUUAUGAAGUUAGCGGCGGACGGGUGAGUAACACGUGGGUACCUGUCCAUAAGACUGGGAUAACUCAGGGAAACCGGGGCUAAUACCGGAUAACAUUUUGAACCGCAUGGUCCGAAAUUGAAAGGACGCUUCGGCUGUCACUUAUGGAUGGACACGCGUCGCAUUAGCCAGUUGGUGAGGUAACGGCACCCCAAGGCACCGCUUCGUAGCCGACCGGAGAGGGUGAUCGGCCACACUGGGACUUAGACACGGCCCAGACUCCUACGGGAGGCAGCAGUAGGGAAUCUUCCGCAAUGGACGAAAGUCUGACGGAGCAACGCCGCGUGAGUGAUGAAGGCUUGCGGGUCGUAAAACUCUGUUGUUAGGGAAGAACAAGUGCUAGUUGAAUAAGCUGGCACCUUGACGGUACCUAACCAGAAAGCCACGGCUAACUACGUGCCAGCAGCCGCGGUAA